CUGGCACUUACUCGCACUUCACACAUAAAAAACUGAGGACGUGCCUAGGUGGGGCCUGAAGGAAACGCCCAUCACUUAUCUCUUUACACGGCGGAUCCGUCCUCCACUCAUCCUCCUCUCAGUCUAUCUCUUUUCUCUUCUCCUCCAUUAAAUUUCUCAACACCGCACGACGAGCUCGUCCAUGUCUCCGCUGACGGCGCAGCCAUCUGCUGCUGCUCCGACCGGGAGACACUGCGAGCCUGGGUCAGGCGUUGGAGCUCUGUAGCUGGUUAACCCCUUCCCUGCCCACGCUACAAGGGGGAAGCACCUUAGUGCAAGGAAGACGACGAGGCCCGGCGGCCGGGGAGCAGCCGGCCGGAGAUGUUUCAACCGGCGGGGUCGGCGGAGAGUGGGGAUUUCAUAGCGAAGCUACAACAGCGACGGUGGUGACGAAAUUUUGCUACAUCCAUUGCCAGAUUUUGCUACGACGGGCGAGAUUUUUUGAUACAAUGAUUUUAUGGUGAAGCUGCAAUCGCAAUGGCAGUGACGAAGUUUUACUGCAUCCGUCGUCGGAUUUUGUUGGAAGCUACAACCGCCUGCCAGCGAUGCUGGAACCGGCAGUGCGAGGAGCUGCGAGCGGCACACGUCGAUGCUACAACCGCCUGGGCGUGAAGCUACGACCCCCAGCAUCCUUUGCUGGAAGCGGUCACCGGCGAUGCUACAACCUUCAUCGACGGAUGCUACAACCGUCAACGACAAGAGCUACAAGCAGCGAUGGCGAGAUAGAACGUCGUGAUCAUGGAGUCGAUUUUGCUGGGAUGGUGGACGGCAGUGGUGGCGGAGCUGCAACGACGACCGGGGGCGGAGAUGCAAUGGUGUGCCCUCCUAUUGGAACCACGGGGCGCUCGGGCACAACGGCGGAGACGUCGCGCGUGACGACGGCGGCUUGUUGCGGCGCGCCGACACGAGCAACCGACGACAAGCACGGCCACAGGGCGGCCGAGGAGCGUUUGCUGCGCGGCCAUGCGGGAGGCCAACGAGCGCGGAUGAAGACGAGUGGUUGCGCUGGGCUCUAUCCUCUUUCAUUUUUUUUUCUUUUUUUGCUUUUCCUGUGAGAUGAACGAAGGAACCUAUGGUUAAAAAGUGGCGUAUCCUAUGGUAGCGCAGCAACCGGCCCAAAUUUGGGCCGGUGCGCCGGCGCGUAUCACUCGCCAUAUAAGAAAAUACAUGUGUGCUAGCCUCGUACUUGGUAUAUCCUUC